rnacentral:rRNA from 1 species
AUGGAGGCGCUGUCAUCGGAAUCCAAGGCGAUGUACGAUCUACUUCGCGCUAAUAUCACCACCGAUGUCAACACCCCUCUUCACUCAAGUCAGGAGCUCGUCCUCAAGGCCGUCCAGAACAUGCUUGACGAGACAGCGGCACGAAUCAACGACUCGUUGACUUCGAAGAUCGAGGCCGUGCGCGAGGAUCUCGGCGUCGACAUCGCCCAGAUGUGCCUCGCCGACGACAAGGGCUCCCGUGGGGAAUUGCUGCACUCUUCGGGUACCUCGUUCAACCGGACAGGUGGCUCCUCGUCAGAUUCUACAGUGUCGCGUUCGACAGGAAGGCAAACGCACAAUUGCUCAGGGCCUUAUCCAAUGGAAUGA